UAUGAAUGACAAAAUUAGGGGGAACAAAAAGGAAAAAAUAAACGGAGGAAAAGAAAACAACGUUUCUCACUAAACCUCCACUCUUCUCCGUGUAGCUCUCUACUCAAUCCCUCGGCCGCCGCCGCCGCCGCCAUCAUUCUCCGACGAGGAAGGGAUGCUGACGCUCAGAUAUGCAAGGCAAUCCAGAUCCCUUAUCCACCCCGCUCCCGCCUCCGCCACAACCACGGCGGCUCUAUCAUCCGUCGCCGCAGACCUUCCUGUUCAUCUUCCCUCUUUGUCUCCUUCGUCCAGUACCUAUCGAUCCGUCGCCAAGACACAGCAAUCCGACCUCGCCUAUUACUUCAGAGAAUGGUUCAUGUCGCGGAAAAUCCCACUUUACGAUAGCAUCUUGGAAGCCCUACGCGCUCAGGAGGGCGCCGCCGCCGACGCGGACCUCUCCCGCUUCAACCUCCGCCUGACGGAGGAACUAGUUCUCGACGUUUUGAGAUAUAACAAGAAGGAUGUUCUCACCAGCUUGAAGUUCUUCGAUUGGGCGGGUCGACAGCCGAAUUUCUUCCACACGAGAGCGACGUUCUGCUCCAUUUUCCGAAUCAUUUCGAAGGCGAAGCUAACCAGCUUAAUGCUGGAUUUUUUGCAGGACUAUGGGAAGCACGCUGAUAACAGUAAGAAAUUGUAUCAUAAUAUAUUGGUAAUUGGUUAUUCUUUAGCAGGGCAGUGCGAGACUGCGCUCAUUGUGUUUGGUAAAAUGCGGUUUUUGGGGCAUGAUUUGGACCGCAUGGCCUAUAAUGUGCUGCUGAAUGCCCUGGUUGAUAAUGGUCAUUAUGAUUUUGUGGAGAGUUUGGCGAGGGAGGCCAGAACACGGGGGUGCGAGGACAGUUCCAUGCAUGCGGUUAUGUUAAAGAGUUACUGUAAGCAGAAUCAGUUAGAACGUGCGGAGGAGUAUCUGCGUGAUCUGAUGAAGGCUGAUGAUGGGAAAAAAUUGAAUAGGUAUGCAAUGUCUACCUUUAUAUCCGCAUUGUGUAAGAACAAUCAAUUUGAGAGGGCUUUUGUGUUGAUAGAGGAGUUCAAAUCGAUGGGAGUGGAUAUGAAGGGGCAUUUAUAUAGUUCGUGGAUGAGCGAGCUUGUCAAGGUUGGGAAGACAGAUGAUGCAUUAGAGUUUUUCAAGGAUAAGAAGGUGGUUGAUGAUUAUCUCCCAGAUGUCUUUCAUUUCAAUAUGCUGAUUUGCAGGCUUUUGAAGGAGAAUAGGCUUGAAGAGGUGUAUGAUUUGUUGGUGGAGAUGACCAAUAGGGGGGUGGUACCUAAUGAUGUCACCAUGAAUGCUGUCUUGUGCUUUCUAUGUAAAGCAGGAUUGUUGGACGUUGCAAUGGGGUUGUAUAACUCUAAGGCAGAGUUUGGCCUCUCUGUUAACCGUAUGGCUUAUAAUUAUCUGUUAAAUACACUGUUGGGGGAAGCUAGUGUUAUGGAAUCAUAUAAUGUCUUGCAAAACUCCUUGAAACAGGGUUAUUUCCCUGGGGCAAGGACCUUGUCCAUCGUUACUGAUGCCCUCUGCAGAGAAGGCAAGUUUAGUAAGAUGAAGGAGUUGGUUAUGUUCCUCUUGGAAAAUAAAAUCGUGCCCCGUAACUUUGAAUACGACAAGUUUAUAUCAGCUUUUUGUAGGGCUAGCAGAGUUGAAGAAGCAUACAUGUUACACGACCUGCUUACCGGAUUAGAUAAGUCAUCCCGGAAGUUUGCUUACUGUAGCAUGAUCGACGGAUUUACCAGGUCAGACAGAGGAGAUAUAGCGGUUAGAUUACUCAUUGAGAUGCAAGAAAGCAAUUAUCGGCCAAACAAGAAAUUGUAUAGAGGAGUCAUUUGCUGCCUAUUAAAAAUGGAUAACCCAGAAACUCGAUUCUUUGGAUUGCUUGAAAUGCAGUUGCAUCGCGGUGUGUUUUCCAGGAUUGACAUUUACACGAUCUUCAUUGAUGGGGCUGGACAUGCAGGUAGGCCUGACCUGGCUGUGCAGCUACUUGAGAUGAUGCAAACAGAUGGUCUUCGACUUAAUUUGAAUGCUAGCAUCCUGUUAUUGCAGAGUUAUUUAAAAAACAGAAAAGUUCCCGAAGCUUUGUUGCUGUUCUGCGACUUGUCCCUUAAAUGGCGAAGUAGAAAACUGUGGAAUGCCAUGAUUGUUGGUCUUUGCAGAGUUAGAGAACUGGAUUAUGCAUUAAAGGUAUUGGAGAAUAUGCAUGGAGCCAUGGUAACUCCAUCUCUCCAAUGUUAUGAGGAACUUAUCAAGUUGUACUGUGAUUUGGGGCAGUAUGAUGAUGCUAUAGAUCUUCUCGAUGAUAUGACUAAAAUUGGUCGUCAAAUUUCAUCCUUUAUUGGCAAUGUGUUUUUGUUGCAUUCGUUGAGAAGUAGGUCAUUAUAUGAUGCUUGGGUUUUUUCAAGUGAGAACAAAAAACUCACAAGUGCAAGUUGGAUGUUGGGUCACCUGAUUGGCAUAUUUUCUGGUAGUAUUGAAGGAAUUUAUUUAGAUGAGGAUAUUGAAACACUAAUCCAACAAUGCUUCCAAAUUGACCUUUAUACCUAUAAUAUGAUGUUAAGAAGAUUGAUCGCGAAAACAAGGGAAUCUGCUAGUAAUUUAGUCCAUCGGCUGCGAAAAAAAGGAUAUAAACCAAAUAGAUGGACUUACGAUAUAAUUAUCCAUGGUUUAGCCAGACAAGGUCGGGAUGCAGAAGCUAGAAAAUGGUUAGAUGAGAUGCUCCUUCAGGGGUUCAGUCCCAACUGGCUACCCCGAAGACGUAUUGAAUGAAUAGAAGAUGAACCUUGUUUGUCACGUAGAGUGUUCUAUAACAGACAGUACCUUCAAUACAGCCAAGAAAAAGAAUCAUAAUGCGCCUGGACUCGUCAAACUUGCUACCCCCACCCCCUGUCCGCUUCCUCAGAUCUCUUAAUAGUGGCGGUCAUUAGACUUCUAGGGGAUCCUGAAUUUGCUUUGCUUGAAGAUGAAGAUUCUUGAGUGUCAGUACUAAUUGCUUUUGGUAGAACAACUCUCUCCAUAUUUUAUUCAUGUCCCACUGCUGGCAGUCAUCAGGUAUUCCAUUAAUUUAUGCUUAUGACGGAGGAUUUGCCUUAUUUGUUUAGAUUAGCACUAAUAAGGAGCCAGCACAGCUAUUGAGAAGUUCAUCAGCAUGGGGGCUAUGGAGUGUUUUACAGAUCGACCAUUGUGCUAUAUAAGAAGGAAAGGGCAAAAGGCACAUUCGCAAUAUAAGUGAUGCUCUUGAAUCUGCUUAAGUCGUUGCUGUUCCGUUACAAAAGAAGUCUCUGCAGGUAAAAGAUACAAAGAAACUCCAGUUUCAUUGGAUUCGGCAUUAUUUCAUAGUUGAGAUGGAGUUUAUAAGCGGUAAAAACCCCAGCAGAUCAGCAAGGAGUUGGCUUGAUGGUGGUGGUUGUGCUUUUGUCUUCUCCGGCAGAAUGCAUUGUUCAUGGACUCUCACUUUUCGACAUGAGAUGAUAUCUCAAGACUGGAGGCGUAGAGGAAGUUUUGAUGCCUGGGGAACACAAGUAAAAGAAGGAGAUCGAUUUCGCCCUCUCUUACGCCCUCCUCAGCUUAGAACGGCAUUGUUGGGAUCGCUAUAUGGUGGCUGUUGAUAGUAUCUUGCGUAAACUGUUGUGGACUGCGUUGGGAUGUUUUAGGGUUCUUAAUCUUGGGAGGAACCUUUAAUCAGCCAAAGGGAACGAGGACGCUCACAUUAAUCAGUGAAAGAGGAUUUUUUACGUGCUUUCUAUUUUGUUACGCCAUUCAUGUAUUGUCUUGUUUGAGCUCAACAUAAAUUAAUGUUUAUUAUUUAUUUGACCUGUAACAAUUUCUCUCAUUGGUUUUAAUCUAAGAUCCAGGAAUUAUUAAAAAAAAAAGUGUUCAGGGAUGAAAGCCGACAUGUAUGGGUAAAUUCAUACUUC